UACGUAGGGACCGAGCGUUGUCCGGAUCAUUGGGCGUAAAGAGCUCGUAGGCGGCUGUUCAAGUCGAACGUGAAAACUCGGAGCUCAACUCCGAGCCUGCGUUCGAUACUGGACGGCUAGAGUCUGGUAGGGGGAUCGUGGAAUUCCUGGUGUGAGCGGUGGAAUGCGCAGAUAUCAGGAGGAACACCGGUGGCGAAGGCGGGAUCCUGGGCCAGUACUGACGCUGAGGAGCGAAAGCGUGGGGAGCAAACAGG
rnacentral:rRNA from 1 species